GACGAACGCUGGCGGCGUGGAUUAGGCAUGCAAGUCGAACGGUAGGAUACCUUCGGGUAUCUGAGAGUGGCGAACGGGUGAGUAACACGUAGGUGAUCUACCCUCAAGAUUGGGACAACCCAGGGAAACUUGGGCUAAUACCGGAUGAAAGCAGCAGUGAUGUUGUUUGAAAGGUGGCGUAAGCUGCCGUUUGGGGAUGAGCCUGCGCUCUAUUAGUUAGUUGGCGGGGUAAAGGCCCACCAAGGCGAUGAUAGAUAGGCGGCCUUAACGGGUGGUCGCCCACACUGGGAUUGAGAUACGGCCCAGACUCCUACGGGAGGCAGCAGUCGAGAAUAGUCUACAAUGGCCGAAAGGCUGAUAGUGCGACGCCGCGCGAACGAAGAAGCCCUUCGGGGUGUAAAGUUCUUUUAUAUGUGAGCAGUGCUUUCUAUGUGAACAGCAUGGGGAGAGAGAUAUUAGCAAUUUGAAUAAGCAACGGCUAACUCCGUCGCCAGGCACG
rnacentral:rRNA from 1 species